rnacentral:lncRNA from 1 species
AUGAACUCCAUCCCUGGCCUUGAGGAAGUCCCAGACCACCGAUGAAAUGCAUGGACAGCAACAGAAGAAAGGACAAUCUGAUGAUUCGAGUCAUUUGGAUAAAUAAUCCUCUGAUGCUUAACCAACUUGUGGAAGAAGGAAACUGCUUAGAUGUGUGUAAAAUUAACACCAAGCUCGGAGUGAAAUUCACCAUAAAUCUCAGCUCUAAAGUUAAAUGACACAUUUGAAUCCUGAAAUCAUCAAACAAGCAAAUAAUUUCAGCAGCUGCCUCACAAAAGACAUCUUCAGAGACUACAUUCAGCAAGUAGACAACUAAGAAUUAAUUUAGGAAAAGCACUCACUCUCUCUCUCUUUUGAAAAACUGAAAGGCAGUAUCAAUUGACCAUAAAGUUGAUCUCAAUAGACUGUAUCAGAUACACAGACAUUGAUUUAAAAAUGCAGGCACACACAAAAGUACUCCCUACACAAGCCUAUUCCUUUGGGCCUUUGUUAUUUUUAUUUUUUUUGAGAGGGACUCUUGCUCUGUUGCCCAGGCUGGAGUGCAGUGGCGUAGUCUUGUCUCACUGCAACCUCUGCCUCCCGGGUUCAAGCGAUUCUCUUGCCUCAGCCUCCUCAGUGGCUGGGAUUACAGGCACCCACCACCAUGCCUGGAAAAUUUUUGUAUUUUUAGUAGAGAUGGGGUUUCACCAUGUUGACCAGGCUGGUCUCAAACUCCUGACCUCAUGAUCCGCUCCUCUUGGCCUCCCAAAGUGCUGGGAUUACAGGUGUGAGCCACCGCGCCCGGAUGGCCAUUUUUAAAAAAACUUGAAAUCUGCCUUGAAGACCUGGUAUGAGUUGAACCUCCCCUCCCACCCCAAUUUAAUAUGUUACAGUCCUAACCCCCCCCGCCAGUAAUUCAGAAUGUGACCUUAUUUAGAGAUAACAUCUUUACAGAGGUAAUCAAGUUAAAAUGAAAUCAUUAGGAUAGGCCCUAAUUCAGUAUGACUGGUGUCCUUUUGGACACAGGAACACAUAUAGAAAGAAAAUGAGUUGAAGAGACAUAGAGGGAAGACAACCAUCUAUGAGCAAAGAAGACAGGCCUGGAACAGAUCCUUCUCUCAAAGUCCUCAGAAGAAACCAACUCUGCUGAUUCCUUGAUCUUGGAC